GCAUUAUACAGCGAAACUGCGAAUGGCUCAUUAUAUAAGUUAUCGUUUAUUUGAUAGUACCUUACUACUUGGAUAACCGUGGUAAUUCUAGAGCUAAUACAUGCUAAAAAUCCCGACUUCGGAAGGGAUGUAUUUAUUAGAUUAAAAACCAAUGCCCUUCGGGGCUCUCUGGUGAUUCAUGAUAACUUCUCGAAUCGCACGGCCUUGUGCCGGCGAUGGUUCAUUCAAAUUUCUUCCCUAUCAACUUUCGAUGUUUGGGUCUUGGCCAAACAUGGUUGCAACGGGUAACGGAGGGUUAGGGCUCGACCCCGGAGAAGGAGCCUGAGAAACGGCUACUACAUCCAAGGAAGGCAGCAGGCGCGCAAAUUACCCAAUCCCGACUCGGGGAGGUAGUGACAAUAAAUACUGAUACAGGGCUCUUUUGGGUCUUGUAAUUGGAAUGAGUACAAUUUAAAUCCCUUAACGAGGAACAAUUGGAGGGCAAGUCUGGUGCCAGCAGCCGCGGUAAUUCCAGCUCCAAUAGCGUAUAUUAAAGUUGUUGUGGUUAAAAAGCUCGUAGUUGAACCUUGGGCCUGGCUGGCCGGUCCGCCUCACCGCGUGUACUGGUCCGGCCGGGUCUUUCCCCCUGUGGAACCCCAUGCCCUUCACUGGGUGUGGCGGGAAAACAGGACUUUUACUUUGAAAAAAUUAGAGUGCUCCAGGCAGGCCUAUGCUCGAAUACAU
rnacentral:rRNA from 1 species